rnacentral:tRNA from 1 species
GGGCCCGUGGCGCAACGGCAGCGCAAGUGACUCAUAAUCACCAGGUUCCAGGUUCGAGUCCUGGCGGGCCCA